UACGUAGGGGGCAAGCGUUGUCCGGAUUUAUUGGGCGUAAAGAGCUCGUAGGCGGUUUGUCGCGUCUGCUGUGAAAACCUAAGGCUCAACCUUGGGCUUGCAGUGGGUACGGGCAGACUAGAGUGCGGUAGGGGUGACUGGAAUUCCUGGUGUAGCGGUGGAAUGCGCAGAUAUCAGGAGGAACACCGAUGGCGAAGGCAGGUCACUGGGCCGCAACUGACGC
rnacentral:rRNA from 1 species